rnacentral:lncRNA from 1 species
CCGCCUCCGCAGUUUCAACUCCACAUCAACAAAUAAACCGAGACAAUCCAGUGGACACGACGGAGAAGACCCGACUACCGCAAUCAUUGCCGCAUUGCCGACAUCGCUUCCGCCAUCAUCGUUGCCGCAGAAGUCCGGACGCCACAAUCCUCACCAACCACCGGUGCCGCUUGCCGCUUGCCGAUGUCGAGCUCGGAGACGAAGCCCCAAACAGGUAAAUCAUGAAUAAUCAAUCAAUCAAAAUGUUUAUAGGGAUCAUGUUGGGUUCGAUUGGAUCUCCACAUAAGAAGAAAGCAGUACAUUUAUUACCCGGUGAUCAAGUGUAUCAUGUGUAUGCACUCAUCAUCGUUGGUGCUAUUUCUCUCUAUAAUAUAUGGUGCUCCUGCCGGUU